CCUACGGGUGGCAGCAGUGGGGAAUAUUGGACAAUGGGCGAAAGCCUGAUCCAGCCAUGCCGCGUGUGUGAAGAAGGCCUUCGGGUUGUAAAGCACUUUCAGUGGGGAAGAAAGCCUUGGGGCUAAUACCCUCGAGGAAGGACAUCACCCACAGAAGAAGCACCGGCUAACUCCGUGCCAGCAGCCGCGGUAAUACGGAGGGUGCGAGCGUUAAUCGGAAUUACUGGGCGUAAAGCGCGCGUAGGCGGUCUGAUAAGCCGGUUGUGAAAGCCCCGGGCUCAACCUGGGAACGGCAUCCGGAACUGUCAGGCUAGAGUGCAGGAGAGGAAGGUAGAAUUCCCGGUGUAGCGGUGAAAUGCGUAGAGAUCGGAAGGAAUACCAGUGGCGAAGGCGGCCUUCUGGACUGACACUGACGCUGAGGUGCGAAAGCGUGGGUAGCAAACAGGAUUAGAUACCCCAGUAGUC
rnacentral:rRNA from 1 species